AGUGAACGCUGGCGGUAGGCCUAACACAUGCAAGUCGAACGGCAGCACAGUAAGAGCUUGCUCUUACGGGUGGCGAGUGGCGGACGGGUGAGGCAUACAUCGGAAUCUACUUUUUCGUGGGGGAUAACGUAGGGAAACUUACGCUAAUACCGCAUACGACCUACGGGUGAAAGCAGGGGAUCUUCGGACCUUGCGCGAUUGAAUGAGCCGAUGUCGGAUUAGCUAGUUGGCGGGGUAAAGGCCCACCAAGGCGACGAUCCGUAGCUGGUCUGAGAGGAUGAUCAGCCACACUGGAACUGAGACACGGUCCAGACUCCUACGGGAGGCAGCAGUGGGGAAUAUUGGACAAUGGGCGCAAGCCUGAUCCAGCCAUACCGCGUGGGUGAGGAAGGCCUUCGGGUUGUAAAGCCCUUUUGUUGGGAAAGAAAAGCAGCAGGUUAAUACCCCGCUGUUCUGACGGUACCCAAAGAAUAAGCACCGGCUAACUUCGUG
rnacentral:rRNA from 1 species